UUGGUAAGUCCGCAACGAGACGCAACCCCUACUUGUUAGUUGUCCAUCAUUCAGUUGGGCACUCUAGCGAGACUGCCGGUAAUAAACCGGAGGAAGGUGGGGAUGACGUCAAAUCAUCAUGCCCCUUAUGACCUGGGCUACACACGUGCUACAAUGGUUGGUACAACGAGUUGCGAGUCGGUGACGGCGAGCUAAUCUCUUAAAGCCAAUCUCAGUUCGGAUUGUAGGCUGCAACUCGCCUACAUGAAGUCGGAAUCGCUAGUAAUCGCGGAUCAGCACGCCGCGGUGAAUACGUUCCCGGGCCUU
rnacentral:rRNA from 1 species